rnacentral:rRNA from 1 species
CCUACGGGUGGCAGCAGUAGGGAAUAUUGCUCAAUGGGGGAAACCCUGAAGCAGCAACGCCGCGUGGAGGAUGAAGGCUUUCGGAUUGUAAACUUCUUUUGUUAGAGAAGAUAAUGACGGUAUCUAACGAAUAAGCACCGGCUAACUCCGUGCCAGCAGCCGCGGUAAUACGGACGGUGCCAGCGUUACUCGGAAUCACUGGGCGUAAAGAGGGCGUAGGCGGGAUAGCAAGUCAGAUGUGAAAUCCUAUGGCUUAACCAUAGAACUGCAUUUGAAACUGUUAUUCUAGAGUAUGGGAGAGGUAGGUGGAAUUCUUGGUGUAGGGGUAAAAUCCGUAGAGAUCAAGAGGAAUACUCAUUGCGAAGGCGACCUGCUAGAACAUAACUGACGCUGAUGCGCGAAAGCGUGGGGAGCAAACAGGAUUAGAUACCCCUGUAGUC